rnacentral:lncRNA from 1 species
CUCCAGGCCAGGGCUCUUCUGGCCCCCCGGAAAUUCUCAGUUCCCUUCCGGUAUUAUUUCCGUUCCUAAGGGAGAACUUCCGGGAGCGACAGAAGUAAAGGUUACCCAGCUAGAAACUGAGUCAGGAUCCUUCUGCGUUAUUACCGGUUUCCUGGAUUCUGGGGAAGGCGCCAUCGUGGAAGAACCGUUCCCGGACAGAUUGCCUGAAAAUGUAACUGUCAGAUUCCAGUGUCAGCUGCCCUUGAACUUGUAACCCAGGCUGGCUUUGAACUUAUGGUGAUCCUCCUGCCUCAGGCUCCUGAGUGCUGGGGUUACAGGAGUGAGCCACCACACCUGGCUCCACAAAUGUCUUCAUACAUCAGUAAAAUAAGCGAUGCAUUUUCCCAAGCAAAAUAGUUUAUUUCAAUUGUUAAUUUGAGGCAAAUUUUGACAUGCAUGAGAAAUUGUAUGAGAACAGAUAAAAUUUUGGUCAAACAAAAUGAAGGGAUGCAUGCUAAAAGCAAAAUAUUUUAUAUCUACAGUAAUUAUAUAAUAUUAGCACUCAAGUGUGGCAAAUACAUCCUAAUUUGAACUGAUUUAUCUAAAUAGUACAUAUUUUAAUAAUUGUUAUUAGGCAAUAUGUAUAUACUUGUGUGAAAAUCAAAAUAUAUGUAUAUGUAUAAGCUUAGUAUAUGUGACAGUUUCGGUAUUUCAGAUAUUUACAAAAUGAUAGAAUAUUUAACCAAUCAUACAUCAAACAAUUCAGAAAAUAAGUGAAAACAAGAACAAUAUAUUUCUGGUUUUCUAUAGCAAGGGAUAUGGCCAUUAUCUUCUAUGUUUGGCAGGGAUGCAAUAAUCUUCAGGGAAGUUGGAAAACUGUAGCAGAAAAAAUGGAAGGCUUUGGGGGCACCCUGGUAGUAUGUUUUUGGCAUGGUGAAGCUAGUCCUAGCCCAGCUAGAGGUGGAACAUUUUACAUGACUGACCAGGGGAGCAUAUUUGGUCCCCUCCACUUGGUCCUGAGUUAGAAACAGGGGCCACAAUGAAGUGUUGGCAGUCCUCACUGUUUGAGCCUGGUUACUGUAGAAUUUGUGGUUUGGCUUCAGUGGCUUCUUACUGCAUAAGCUGUUGUUAUUUAUGGUCUGUUGAUUCUCGGUUUCUGUGUUGUUUCUUACAGUAGAUACAAAAAUAAUUGUACAUAGAAAAUUAAUAUAUUUAAUGUGAUUGAUAAAUAUAACAUUUUCAAUAAAUAGUAAGCUUUUCUGUUUAUUAUGAUACCAAAUUACUGAGAAAAAAAAUGAUACUGGGUUUGGGGAAAUUAAAGUGGUGUCUUUAAGCAAAUUUUAAAUUUUUCCUACGAAUUAUAAAUAGUAAUUUUCCUUCUAGGGUUAUCGUCAACAAAGCUACUUACAAAUAUGCAUAAAAUUUUGGUUAAUAAAUGGUGAAACGUCUGUCUUUUGUUUUGGGGAUUUUUGUUUGUUUUUUUGAGACAGAAUCUUGCUUUGCAGGGCAGGCUGGCCUUGAACUCACUGUGUAGCCCACACUGGCCUCAAACUCAUGGCAAUCUUCCUGUCUCAGCCUCCUCAGUUCCAGGAUGAUAAGCUUCAGGCACCAUGCCCAGAUGAAAGGUCUAUUUUUCAGUAAAUAUUGUUGUGUUCAUACAGUGAGAAUAUAGCUCUUACAUACUUGCAAAACCUAUGUUCAAUUAAUAUUACUGAUGAAGAAAAACAUUUUAUUUCACAUGUAUGUGUACAUAUAUAAACAUAUCACAUAUGUCAGUGAAGCCAGGGCCUCACUUGUGCAGGACAAGUGCUCUACCAUUGAGUUGUAUCCCUCGCCCUUCCGUGUUUCAAAUAAGCAUUUAUCUUGGAUAGUUGUCUUCCUACCCCUAACUUUUUAAGGUAUAAAAUUUUCUUUAAAGGCAAAUAAUCUUCAGAAGAGUGGAUCAUAUUCAUUUUUCUUUGUUUAAUGUAUUUCUGUUAAAUGUUUUCAUCGAUUGCCCAGUUCCCAGUAUGUACUAGGUAUGGAUUAUGUGGUGGAGGUACAUUACUGAGGCAGAGCCUAGUGGAAAACAAACAAGUAAAUAUGGCAUAUGCUAUAGCAUUGAAGUUUUGUAGUCAUUUUUAAAGGUACAGUAGUAGCUGGGCAUGGUAGCACACACUUAUAAUCCCAGCACAGGGAGGCUGAGCCAGGAGGGUCACAUGUUCAAGUCCCACCUGGGGAAUUUCAUGAGACCUUGUUUCAAAAUAACAAUAAAAAAGGACUGGGACCCGGCCGGGGAUUUAGCUCAGCAGCACAGUGCCUGCCUGGCAAGUGUGAGGUCCUGAGUUCAAUCCCUGGUACCAAACAAACAAACAAACAAAAAGACUGUGUAUGAAGCUCAGUGUGACAGUCCUGUGUUCAAUCCCUAGUACAAAAUAAAUGAGCUACAUUGGUAACAAAAAUAUUGCUUAUAUCUCUUUGUGUUAUGAUUACUCGUUGCUCUAGUGAUUGGCAUAUAAAUCCUUUUUUUUUUUUGGUCUCCUUAUGAGAGACCUAAGUUAGCUUAGGAGACUCCAUUUUGUCUGAACUGCCCCAGUCCUGAUGGGAAAACUGUCCUCUGUGUGAACUCUGAAAGGGGGGGGAUCUUAUCUCACAUUUGUACUCCUGUGUGAUGUCUCAACACACCAGAUGUUCUUAUCUCAUGCCUAUACUCCUGCUUUUAAUUGAUGCUUAAGGGUUUAGACAAACAACCACAAGGGUGCAUAUGGAACCCACCCAUCAUAAAUAAUGGGAUGUGUUUAUCUGGUAACCCAGAGGUGCUAACCACGCAUUCUUUCUCGCUUCUGUAGAUAUGCUUACUGCAGGGCUAGGGAGGGGGGAGGAGGAAAGGGUUUUCUUUAUAAAAACUGACCAAAAGUUCAGUCCAGGGCCAGUCUCCUUGCAGGGGAUUUGGUCCCGGCUGGAAAUAAAGUUCUCUGUGGACUUUACAUCGUGUCGUGACUCGGGUGAUUAUCACUGUUGGGGACUUAGGCCCAACAUUCUUGGAGGCCCCAGUGAGGUCUCCCUGAGCUGACAGUCUUGGAGCCUUCUCUGCUGCUUGGGCCUUCUCUUGACGUUCUUGAGUCUGGGGAGCCCACCCCGAGGUAUUCUGGGGCCCCGGGUCCAGCAGCCGCAGGUGGAGGCAGGCAGACUUGGACUCUACCACUGGGAACAGCCUCUAGAUGUAAGGAUCAAAUGGUCUUUUGGAUUGCACACUUAGUGGGUAGAAGGAGGUCAAAUGUGACAUCAACUCCUCUGCUCGAGGACUCAUUGCAAUGGCAGGAGUUGCCCCUGGGUUUUGGUAGUGGUCCACAAAUUUUAGGUAGUUGUGUUUUUGGCACCUUGUCAGUGUGAUCUCUGUUUUGUGUUUCUUUCUGUCCUUUCUUGUUGGGAGCAAUGCUACAUAAUUCUAGGGAUAAAUCAUUUGGUUAGCCUAG